AGAGCGAACGCUGGCGGCGUGCCUAACACAUGCAAGUCGAACGAGAAAGUGGAGCAAUCCAUGAGUAAAGUGGCGCACGGGUGAGUAACACGUGACUAACCUACCCUUGAGUGGGGAAUAACUUCGGGAAACCGAGGCUAAUACCGCAUAACACCUACGGGUCAAAGGAGCAAUUCGCUUAAGGAGGGGGUCGCGGCAGAUUAGUUAGUUGGCGGGGUAAUGGCCCACCAAGACAGUGAUCUGUA
rnacentral:rRNA from 1 species